rnacentral:rRNA from 1 species
GAAGUAAAAGUCGUAACAAGGUCUCCGUUGGUGAACCAGCGGAGGGAUCAUUACUGAGUUUACGCUCUACAACCCUUUGUGAACAUACCUACAACUGUUGCUUCGGCGGGUAGGGUCUCCGCGACCCUCCCGGCCUCCCGCCUCCGGGCGGGUCGGCGCCCGCCGGAGGAUAACCAAACUCUGAUUUAACGACGUUUCUUCUGAGUGGUACAAGCAAAUAAUCAAAACUUUUAACAACGGAUCUCUUGGUUCUGGCAUCGAUGAAGAACGCAGCGAAAUGCGAUAAGUAAUGUGAAUUGCAGAAUUCAGUGAAUCAUCGAAUCUUUGAACGCACAUUGCGCCCGCCAGCAUUCUGGCGGGCAUGCCUGUUCGAGCGUCAUUUCAACCCUCAAGCUCUGCUUGGUGUUGGGGCCCUACAGCCGAUGUAGGCCCUCAAAGGUAGUGGCGGACCCUCCCGGAGCCUCCUUUGCGUAGUAACUUUACGUCUCGCACUGGGAUCCGGAGGGACUCUUGCCGUAAAACCCCCCAAUUUUCCAAAGGUUGACCUCGGAUCAGGUAGGAAUACCCGCUGAACUUAAGCAUAUCA